rnacentral:lncRNA from 1 species
AUCUUCUCUACUCUUUUAUUUACAAAGGGAAUGAUGAAAGGCGGAAACAAACAAGAGGACGCGUGGAUAAACCCAUUCGUUAAGCAGUUUUCAAAUAUCAGUUUUUCAAGAGACUCACCAGAAGAAAAUGUACAGAGCAAUAAGAUGGAUCUUUCUGGAGGAAUGUUACAGGACAAGCGGAUGGAGAUUGAUAAGCAUAGCCUGAAUAUUGGUGACUACAAUCGAGCGGUCGGGAAAGGCCCUGGGUCUCGGCCUCAGAUUUCCAAAGAGUCUUCCAUGGAGCGCAAUCCUUACUUUGAUAAGGUACAAUCUUUCCUUCUUUCUUUCUUUCUUUCUUUCUUUCUUUCUUUCUUUCUUUCUUUCUUU